rnacentral:rRNA from 1 species
UACAGAGGUCUCAAGCGUUGUUCGGAUUCAUUGGGCGUACAGGGUGCGUAGGCGGCGCGGUAAGUCGGGUGUGAAAUCUUGGAGCUUAACUCCGAAACUGCAUUCGAUACUGCCGUGCUUGAGGACUGGAGAGGAGACUGGAAUUUACGGUGUAGCGGUGAAAUGCGUAGAUAUCGUAAGGAAGACCAGUGGCGAAGGCGGGUCUCUGGACAGUUCCUGACGCUGAGGCACGAAGGCCAGGGGAGCAAACGGG